GUAGGGAAUAUUGCGCAAUGGACGAAAGUCUGACGCAGCGACGCCGCGUGAGUGAUGAAGGCCUUAGGGUCGUAAAGCUCUGUUGAAUGGGAAGAAAAAAAUGACGGUACCAUUCGAGGAAGGACCGGCUAACUUCGUGCCAGCAGCCGCGGUAAUACGAGGGGUCCUAGCGUUGUUCGGAAUCAUUGGGCGUAAAGGGUGUGCAGGUGGCCAUGUAAGUCAGGUGUGAAAGCCCCGGGCUCAACCCGGGAAGUGCACUUGAUACUGCGUGGCUUGAGUACCGAAGAGGGUAGUGGAAUGCCAGGUGUAGUGGUGAAAUACGUAGAUAUCUGGAGGAACACCGGUGGCGAAGGCGGCUACCUGGUCGAGUACUGACACUGAGACACGAAAGCAUGGGGAUCAAACAGGAUUAGAUACCCGAGUAGUCC
rnacentral:rRNA from 1 species